GGUUCCUUGGUGUAGUCGGUUUAUCACGUGGACCUAAUAAUCACUACGGAUUACUCAGUCUAAGGUCGGCGGUUCGAGCCCGCCAGGAAUCA